CGAGGGGCGCUUUGGCGCAGCUGGCGGAUGAAGAUGAAAAGGCAGUGGAGGCAGAGGAGCGUUUGGAUCUGGUGGCUCUUUUCUACAAGGACAAGACAUCUUGAGCAAGAGAGUCCAGUGAAGGACGCUUAGCCUUGGGCGAGGUGAGCCCUGAAGCUUGAGAGCGCCCUAACGAGGAGUCUUUACCAUCCUUCCUGAACAAAUUUCACACCUGAGUGGGCCGGAACGUGGCAGGAGCAAACGGGCUCACGAUAAAGACGCCACGACGUGGCUGCAUGCAGCAUGCACAGACUCCAUCAUGCACUUUGGUUCAGGAUGCUGACCUCUCUUUCUUCAUAUUCACAGAGGGGCGCCUGAUGGGAAGGGGGGGGCGAGCGGGCCGAGGAGGGGAGGGGAAGCGGGUGGGAUAGAGAACGCUGCUGUCCAGAACUCCUCUCCUGAAAUGAAGAAGCGCCUUCUGAAAGGUCCGCUGUCUUGUGACAUUUCAGCAUGACGUUUGUUCAGGUGAACACCUCAAAACAGGUGCGUCCGAGUCCAUGUUGGAAAAGUUGCUACAAAAAAAUAAAAUAAACUAGCACUGGUGAUGGCACCAAAACUGUGCUCUCUUCCAGUGAUACUGCCACCUACUGCAGUGGAUGUCUAAUUACCCUUUAAUCUAGUACAGCCAAAAAAAAAGUAUGUUCCUAUGGUAUUGCGCCGCGCCCGCCCUACUAUGUGAGAA